rnacentral:misc_RNA from 1 species
UUAAACUGGGUCAGGAGCUUCAGUCGGUGCAUUUUAUGCAAUGUAAUUUUUUCGAAAGAAACAACGUGUUAGCUAUAUAACUAACAUAUCAGCACGUGUUUGGCCACUAUGAGUGCAAUGAAUGCUUCUGCUUUACGGAAGUCGAUGAUGCACGUCCAGCUGUCUGUCAUGACUAUGAUAAAAACGUAAUGAAGUUCAUUUAUGGCGACGGCGCCUGUGAGCCUCUGCGACCUGGCGACAUUUGUUUUCCAAAGGUCUACGAGAGUCUGGCGGCCUGUAAAGAGGCCUGUAAGAUCUUUCUGGCAUUUGCAGAGGAAUGGAUUAAAAAUCCAAGCAUCGAUUGAAUCACACUAUGGAGGAAGCUGACAAGUUUUUAUUAAAAAUGAAUAAAAAUAUUAUAUAAAAAUUAAA